GAGGAAUAUUGGUCAAUGGGCGCAAGCCUGAACCAGCCAUGCCGCGUGAAGGAUGAAGGCCUUCUGGGUUGUAAACUUCUUUUACCUGGGAAGAAAACUACGGUUUCUACUGUAGCCGACGGUACCAGAGGAAUAAGCACCGGCUAACUCCGUGCCAGCAGCCGCGGUAAUACGGAGGGUGCAAGCGUUAUCCGGAUUUACUGGGUUUAAAGGGUGUGUAGGCGGGCCUUUAAGUCAGUGGUGAAAUCUCCGAGCUUAACUUGGAAACUGCCAUUGAUACUAUUGGUCUUGAAUUCUGUUGAGGUGGGCGGAAUAUGUCAUGUAGCGGUGAAAUGCUUAGAUAUGACAUAGAACACCAAUUGCGAAGGCAGCUCACUAACCAGACAUUGACGCUGAGGCACGAAAGCGUGGGGAUCAAACAGGA
rnacentral:rRNA from 1 species